rnacentral:rRNA from 1 species
CUACGGGAGGCUCCAGUGAGGAAUAUUGCACAAUGGGGGGAACCCUGAUGCAGCAACGCCGCGUGGAGGAUGACGCAUUUCGGUGUGUAAACUCCUUUUAUAUGUCAAGAAAAUGACGGUAGCAUAUGAAUAAGCACCGGCUAACUCCGUGCCAGCAGCCGCGGUAAUACGGAGGGGUGCAAGCGUUACUCGGAAUCACUGGGCGUAAAGGACGCGUAGGCGGGUUGGAAAGUCAGGUGUGAAAUCCUACAGCUUAACUGUAGAACUGCACUUGAAACUUCUAAUCUAGAGUAUGGGAGGGGGAGAUGGAAUUAGUGGUGUAGGGGUAAAAUCCGUAGAUAUCACUAGGAAUACCUAAAGCGAAGGCGAUCUCCUGGAACAUUACUGACGCUAAGGCGUGAAAGCGUGGGGAGCAAACAGGAUUAGAUACCCUCGUAGUC